rnacentral:rRNA from 1 species
GUGUCAGCAGCCGCGGUAACACGUAGGGUGCAAGCGUUGUCCGGAAUCAUUGGGCGUAAAGAGCUCGUAGGCGGCUUAGUAAGUCGGGUGUGAAAACCCCAGGCUCAACCUGGGGACGCCACCCGAUACUGCUAUAGCUAGAGUCCAGUAGGGGAGUGUGGAAUUCCCAGUGUAGCGGUGAAAUGCGCAGAUAUUGGGAGGAACACCAGCGGCGAAGGCGGCACUCUGGGCUGGUACUGACGCUGAGGAGCGAAAGCGUGGGUAGCGAACAGGAUUAGAAACCCCAGUAGUCC